rnacentral:rRNA from 1 species
UAAUAUAUCGGAACGUGCCCAGUCGUGGGGGAGUAACGCAGCGAAAGCUGUGCUAAUACCGCAUACGAUCUAUGGAUGAAAGCGGGGGAGUCGCAAGACCUCGCGCGAUUGGAGCGGUCGAUAUCAGAUUAGCUAGUUGGUGGGGUAAAAGCCCACCAAGGCGACGAUCUGUAGCUGGUCUGAGAGGACGACCAGCCACACUGGAACUGAGACACGGUCCAGACUCCUACGGGAGGCAGCAG